rnacentral:rRNA from 1 species
UACAGAGGGUGCAAGCGUUGCUCGGAAUUAUUGGGCGUAAAGGGCAGGUAGGUGGUCUCAUUUGUCAGGGGUGAAAGCCCUGGGCUUAACCCAGGAAGUGCCCUUGAAACGGUGGGACUGGAGUACUGGAGAGGGUCGUGGAAUUCCCGGUGUAGCGGUGAAAUGCGUAGAGAUCGGGAGGAACAUCUGAGGCGAAGGCGGCGACCUGGACAGUGACUGACACUCAACUGCGAAAGCGUGGGGAUCAAACAGG